rnacentral:rRNA from 1 species
CCUACGGGAGGCAGCAGUAGGGAAUCUUUCACAAUGGGCGAAAGCCUGAUGGAGCAACGCCGCGUGCAGGAUGAAGGCCUUCGGGUUGUAAACUGCUUUUAUAAGCGAGAAAUAUGAUGGUAACUUAUGAAUAAGGAUCGGCUAACUACGUGCCAGCAGCCGCGGUCAUACGUAGGAUCCGAGCAUUAUCCGGAGUGACUGGGUGUAAAGAGUUGCGUAGGUGGCAUAAUAAGUAGCGAGUGAAAUCUGGUGGCCCAACCAUUCAGACUAUUAGCUAAACUGUUAAGCUCGAGACCGUUAGGGGUAACUGGAAUUUCUAGUGUAGGGGUGAAAUCCGUAGAUAUUAGAAGGAACACCAAUAGCGUAGGCAGGUUGCUGGGACGGUUCUGACACUAAGGCACGAAAGCGUAGGGAGCAAACGGGAUUAGAUACCCUAGUAGUC